rnacentral:rRNA from 1 species
GUGGGGAAUUUUGGACAAUGGGCGCAAGCCUGAUCCAGCAAUGCCGCGUGCAGGAAGAAGGCCUUCGGGUUGUAAACUGCUUUUGUACGGAACGAAACGGUCCUGGCUAAUACCCGGGGCUAAUGACGGUACCGUAAGAAUAAGCACCGGCUAACUACGUGCCAGCAGCCGCGGUAAUACGUAGGGUGCGAGCGUUAAUCGGAAUUACUGGGCGUAAAGCGUGCGCAGGCGGUGCUGUAAGACAGGCGUGAAAUCCCCGGGCUCAACCUGGGAAUUGCGCUUGUGACUGCAGUGCUGGAGUGCGGCAGAGGGGGAUGGAAUUCCGCGUGUAGCAGUGAAAUGCGUAGAUAUGCGGAGGAACACCGAUGGCGAAGGCAAUCCCCUGGGCCUGCACUGACGCUCAUGCACGAAAGCGUGGGGAGCAAACAGGAUUAGAUACCCGGGUAGUCC